rnacentral:rRNA from 1 species
UACGUAGGGUGCGAGCGUUAAUCGGAAUUACUGGGCGUAAAGCGUGCGUAGGCGGUUCGUUAAGUUCGUUGUGAAAGCCCCGGGCUUAACCUGGGAAUGGCAUUGAGGACUGUGGAGCUCGAGUGCGGCAGAGGGAGGUGGAAUUCCACGUGUAGCAGUGAAAUGCGUAGAGAUGUGGAGGAACACCGAUGGCGAAGGCAGCCUCCUGGGCCGACACUGACGCUCAUGCACGAAAGCGUGGGGAGCAAACAGG